rnacentral:rRNA from 1 species
GAUGAACGCUGACAGAAUGCUUAACACAUGCAAGUCAACUUGAACUUCGGUUUGGGUGGCGGACGGGUGAGUAACGUGUAAAGAACUUGCCUCACAGAUAGGGACAACAUUUGGAAACGAAUGCUAAUACCUGAUAUUAUGAUUAUAUGGCAUCGUAUAAUUAUGAAAGCUAUAUGCGCUGUGAGAGAGCUUUGCGUCCCAUUAGCUAGUUGGAGAGGUAACGGCUCACCAAGGCGAUGAUGGGUAGCCGGCCUGAGAGGGUGAUCGGCCACAAGGGGACUGAGACACGGCCCUUACUCCUACGGGAGGCAGCAGUGGGGAAUAUUGGAAAAUGGACCAAGAGUCUGAUCCAGAAAUUCUGUGUGCAAGAUGAAGUUUUUCGGAAUGUAAAGUGCUUUCAGUUGGGAAGAAAAAAAUGACGGUACCAACAGAAGAAGUGACGGCUAAAUACGUG